rnacentral:lncRNA from 1 species
GUGGGCGACCUAGAACUUAAAAUGUAUUCCCGCAUUUUACUGGUGGGCGACCUAGAACUUAAAUGUAUUCCCGCAUUUUACUGGUGGGCGACCUAGAGCUUAAAUGUAUUCCCGCAUUUUACUGGUGGGCGACCUAGAACUUAAAAGUAUUCCCGCAUUUUACUGGUGGGCGACCUAGAACUUAAAUGUAUUGAAAUUGUUUCCUCGUUCUUCCGAGAAAAUUUGACGAUUGGCAGAAAAUUUUCUGCCCCGGUUUCUGGUGAUUUCCCUGGCGUUGCAUCUUGCU